rnacentral:rRNA from 1 species
UACGUAGGGGGCAAGCGUUGUCCGGAUUUAUUGGGCGUAAAGAGCUCGUAGGCGGCUUGGCAAGUCGGGUGUGAAACCUCCAGGCUCAACCUGGAGACGCCACUCGAUACUGCCAUGGCUAGAGUCCGGUAGGGGACCACGGAAUUCCUGGUGUAGCGGUGAAAUGCGCAGAUAUCAGGAGGAACACCGGUGGCGAAGGCGGUGGUCUGGGCCGGCACUGACGCUGAGGAGCGAAAGCGUGGGGAGCAAACAGG